rnacentral:rRNA from 1 species
GAUGAACGCUGGCGGCGUGCCUAAUACAUGCAAGUCGAGCGAACAGAUAAGGAGCUUGCUCCUUUGACGUUAGCGGCGGACGGGUGAGUAACACGUGGGUAACCUACCUAUAAGACUGGAAUAACUCCGGGAAACCGGGGCUAAUGCCGGAUAACAUUUAGAACCGCAUGGUUCUAAAGUGAAAGAUGGUUUUGCUAUCACUUAUAGAUGGACCCGCGCCGUAUUAGCUAGUUGGUAAGGUAACGGCUUACCAAGGCAACGAUACGUAGCCGACCUGAGAGGGUGAUCGGCCACACUGGAACUGAGACACGGUCCAGACUCCUACGGGAGGCAGCAGUAGGGAAUCUUCCGCAAUGGGCGAAAGCCUGACGGAGCAACGCCGCGUGGGUGAUGAAGGUCUUCGGAUCGUAAAACUCUGUUAUUAGGGAAGAACAAAUGUGUAAGUAACUGUGCACGUCUUGACGGUACCUAAUCAGAAAGCCACGGCUAACUACGUG